UAAUGACUGCCUUUGCUGCAGUCAAUAACAAUUAUUAUUAUUUAAUAUGUAAUUCCUGGCCAUUCGAUGAAAAUUGGAAUAUUUAGUUUUGAGAUAUUGGUGGAAAAGUUGGCCGUUAUUGUCAUAUUUUAAAUUAGCUUUGAUAAUCUAAUGUAUCAAUUAAUUCCAGCAGUUCCCACCCCUGGGCCUUUGCAGCUUUUCCUAAUCACGGGGGUGGGGCUAUUGCCAAUAUUUUUUAGCCCUGGGGUGAGGAUUUUGACAUUUUCCAUCAUGGGGGAUUGGGUAGACUUGCUGGAAAACUGAUAUUUAAUUUGAUUGCAAAUGGCUUGUGGACAUAGCCAUUUUCUUCUCAGAAAUGGCUAAUACCUCGGGGGGAUGGGCACUGCUGGAAUUGACUGAUACAUAAUUAACAAUCGCCAUUUUGAUUGGUUGUUAUUUUUGUGCAUCCCAAUCACUGUCCACUUUUUAUUGACUUCAGUGACAGGCUUACCCUGCGAGCAAAGUCCUCUCGUAUUUCUUCUCAGCACAAGAGAUACUCUGCAGAACUUGUGUAUAUUCUUUGUGGAGCCGACAAUCCAAAAACUUGGAUAAUUAUGAGUAAUUUUAGGUUUGAUACCAGUUUUAUAACCGGUUUUGAUCCGAACCGGAAACUACUUAUUAAAUCUUCUUCUGGGAAAUAGGCAGUUGCUUAGCAACCUUCGCGCAUGCUCAAAUGAAUUUAUACACAAGUUCUGCAGAGUCUCUCUCGCUUCUCUGUGCCGUGCCGAGAAGAAAUACGAGAGGACUUUGCUCACAGGGUAUAACAGGCUCUAUUUCAAGCAUCGAGCCUGACAUACAAGCUAACCUUCAAAGGGCCUAUUUGGCAACUUCUGUUGUGGUUACCCAGCCUGAGGCAAAAGUAAUAAAUUAUGAAUUGUUAUAAAUGUUCUGUGAAGUGCACAUAUUUUUCCUGCAGUUAGGGACCAGACCUUAUUUAUGGAAGAGGGAGGGAGGGGGCAAAAGGUGGGGCCAUGACCCCAUGAGUAUAAAUAAUUUACUAGAAGGGGGGUGGGGGGGGGGGCAUUAAAUUUUUUGAAAAAUCAUUUCAAAAUGUGGAGUUGCAAUAAAUUUGUUUAAGCCUGGUUUCCAGUGUCCUCGAAGUUGGGCUAAGCCAGAUAAAUCCAAUAAAUGAUAUCAACCUCGUUCCCAGGGCUUCUGCGCUUAUACACUGCUCUCAGAAGAAAGAGCAAUAAGCGCAGAAGCCCUGCGCAGAAGACCUUAUUUUAAUAGCCCCAGCGACUAAACGCUCAACAGAGCGUCUUGUUGUAAACAAAUAUGGCUAUGCGUAUAUGACACAUCAGAAGGUAUGCUGAAACUAUUGCUUUAUAAAAUAUUACUUGUGUAAAAUUUAUAUGUUUUUGUUACUUUCAGCUACUAUAAGAAACUUUAAGAUAAGAUUUAUGUAACAAAAAACUUUAUUUCGGG